rnacentral:rRNA from 1 species
UACGGAGGAUCCGAGCGUUAUCCGGAAUUACUGGGCGUAAAGAGUUGCGUAGGUGGCACUGUGUGUCGGUAGUGAAAGCGUGUGGCUCAACCAUAUACACAUUAUCGAAACUGCAGAGCUAGAGGACGAGAGAGGUUAUUGGAAUUCCCAGUGUAGGAGUGAAAUCCGUAGAUAUUGGGAGGAACACCGAUGGCGUAGGCAGAUAACUGGCUCGUUCCUGACACUAAGGCACGAAAGCGUGGGGAGCAAACGGG